GCACGAAUUGCCAUUGCCCGUUACCUAUCUGUUUCUUCUACUCUCGGCUAUCCCCAAUGAAAACACAACCGCAAAUCGCUAGGGUUCACCAUUCCCCGUCGUCACCGCUACCCGUCCCAACCUCGGCCACUAGUGGCUCGACCGUCGCCGGCCGACGAAUCGGAGGCGGUGCGGCCGUAAUCUCCCUUUCCUGGAGCGCAGAGGCGCAGCCACCUCGUCUACUGCAUCCUCCACCGGCCACUCCCUAUCACUGGACCGCCUCCACCCGCCCCAACCCCGGCCACCGUCCACUCGGAUCUCAGUCGUUGCUGCGGUAACCUCCUUCGCCUAUUUCCAUCUGUCCUCUGUCCGUCCCUCCCCCUCCCCUUCUGCCAGUGUCCGAUGCCUGCCUGCUCUAUUUCUGUGUGUGUUAGUGCAGGAGUGCUCUGCGUUCUUGUAUGCAUACUAUGCGUGCAUGGUGGUCGUGCUCUGUGCGUGUGAUGCAUGCGUGUGUUGCCUGACUACUGCUAUUUCAUCUAGUACUAGUGGACUGCUACUAUUUCCGCUGAUUUGCAAAAUGAUGUUGAUACUAGCAAGUCAUCUGCUAUUUUGGUACUGAUCUAUAAUUGCCAACUGUACUGGAACUAGUGGUGACUGCUCCAUUUUAGUACUAGUGGCUGCUAUUGCUAUUGUCAUUUUUUAUAUGAAUUUGCAAAUUGAUACUUGGUUGUAGUUUGCAUAUGUAUUGCUAUUGUUACUGUGAAUUUAAACAUAGGACUAUUGUGUAUGUUCAGUGUGAUUAAAUGAUGGUUUGUGGUACUAACUAUUGGUUUUUCCCUUGUAUUUGUAUGUACAAAAAUGAGCACAACCACUAACAGCAGCAAUGGUACAACUUGUUCAAGUGAGAGUGGAAGUGAAUGUGAGGUUGAAUCUGACAUAAAGAAGAUGGAGCUCGGGAAGAAAAAGCUUCAGCAAUACAUGUAUGUUGCAUUUGUGGUCGCCAUGCACAAUCAAAAGUAUCUUAUGAAGAAAGAAAGGAGAGAGGCCAUGUUUUGACUUAUUACAUGAGACUUUGGUACACAACUAUGGUUUGCGAGCAACAUGCAACAUGUGUUCCGAGGAGGCUCUAUGGAUGUUCUUGUGGACUAUUGGUAGCCCACAAUCAGUGAGCCAAGUUUAGAACCGAUUCAAGAGGUCCACCGAAAAUUCAACCAUGUGUUGAGGUGUUUGAUGUUAUUAGCUGCAGAUAUGAUUGCACCAACUGAUCCAGAAUUUAGAAGUGUGCAUGAGAGACUGCAAGACCCUAAGUUUUUUCCUCACUUCAAUGGUUGCAUUGGUGCUAUUGAUGGGACACACAUACCUGUCACUGUGCCAGCUAAAGACAUGAUUAACCAUUGCGGUUGACAUGAAUAUUCAUCACCAAAUGUGAUGGCCGUAUGUGACUUUGACAUGAGAUACACUUCUGUAGUGGCUGGAUGGCCUGGUUCGGCACAUGACACAAGGAUAUUCAAGGACAAAAUGGAUAAGUACAAAGAAAAGUUUCCUCAUCCUCUGACAGGAAAACACUAUCUUGUUGAUUCUGGAUACCCCAAUUAGGUUGGUUAUCUAGCACCAUUUAGAGGAACAAAAUACCAUCUACCUGAGUUUCGUAUGGGCCCUGCUGCAACCGGUAGGGAAGAAGUAUUCAACUAUCUUCAUUCAUCACUCAGAAAUGUCAUAGAACGCUCAUUUGCUAUGUUGAAACAAAAAUGGCGCAUUCUAAAACAUUUGCCUAGCUACUCACCUAGUAAGCAAGCAAGGAUUAUCAUCGCUUGUAUGGCACUGCACAACUUCAUCAGAGAUAGUGAUUUGUAUGAUUAUCACUUUGCUAGAUGCAGUGAUGAUGACAACUACUAUCCUCCGGGCCAUGUGGUCAACACAACUGGAGGGAACUAUACGAGAGGUGCAAAUACUACCAUGGACACAACUCGUAACAUGAUUGUUGAUUUUGUGCUGGCAGCGAGAGAGUAGGGUCGUGAGCUUCACCAUAACCAUGUACUUACUUUGUAACCGAAAGACGGUCUCAUGUAUAUAUAAUUAAUACCAUAUGUUAUGAUGAG
rnacentral:rRNA from 1 species